rnacentral:tRNA from 1 species
GGGGAUUUAGCUCAGUGGUAUAAGCACCUGCCUUGCAAGCAGACAGUCAUGAGUUUAAUCCCUG